AGCUGAACAUCAUGGAAGAUACCUGGGUUAUAGAUGGGAUAAUAUCUACACAUUCAUGGGGAUUGCUGACCAAACACACAUGUUUUCCAUUUUGAAGCUGCCUUUUUAAGUUCAAAGGUCAUCCUCAGCUUCCUGGUGCUUCUGCAUAUUUGCACAGCUUCAGUACUUCUUCUCCUGUCAUGUACAGCUCGCGACUUUGUUUAAACCACGGAACAAGGGGCCUUGCUGUUACUACAUUGCUGAAGUAUUUCUGCCAUCUAAUUUGCUGUUCAGAGACUUGUUCCACUGCAUUAAUGACAGCAGUUAAUUUUAUUUUUAUUAAAGAAAAUUGCAUUUUAGUUUUAUGCAAGUUCAAAGUUUGA